ACGGCUCAGUAACACGUAGGUAACCUACCCUUCGGACGGGCACAACCCCGGGAAACUGGGGCUAAUUCCCGAUAGGUACCCCCUUCUGGAAUGUGGGGAUAUCCAAAGCUCCGGCGCCGAAGGAUGGGCCUGCGGCCGAUUAGGUUGUUGGCGGGGUAACAGCCCACCAAGCCGACGAUCGGUACGGGCAGUGAGAGCUGUAGCCCGGGGAUGGGGACUGAGACAAGGCCCCAGGCCCUACGGGGCGCAGCAGGCGCGAAACCUUCACAAUGCACGAAAGUGUGAUGAGGGUACUCCGAGUGCGCAUACAUUGUAUGUGCUUUUCUGCAGCGUAAAUAGUUGCAGGAAUAAGGGCUGGGCAAGACCGGUGCCAGCCGCCGCGGUAACACCGGCAGCCCUAGUGGUGGCCGCUUUUAUUGGGCCUAAAGCGUCCGUAGCCGGACAGGCGAGUCUUUGGGUAAAUCCUACGUCUUAAGCGUGGGAAUUCUAAAGAUACUACCUGUCUUGAGGCCGGGAGAGGCUGGAGGUACUCCUGGGGUAGGGGUAAAAUCCUAUAAUCCUGGGGGGACCACCGAUGGCGAAGGCAUCCAGCUGGAACGGGCCUGACGGUGAGGGACGAAACCCAGGGGAGCGAGCCGGAUUAGAUACCCGGGUAGUCCUGGGCGUAAAUGAUGUGGGCUUGGUGUGAGCGCAUCGACGAGGUGCGCUUGUGCCGUAGGGAAGCCGUUAAGCCCACCGCCUGGGGAGUACGGUCGCAAGGCUGAAACUUAAAGGAAUUGGCGGGGGAG
rnacentral:rRNA from 1 species